AAAGGAAAGCAGCUACCAAAACAUGAUAUCGAUUUUUGUUGUGGUACAACAUCUUUGAAAAUCCAGAGAGAAGAUUCUUUGGAUUCCCUAAGGAUCCUGUGAGGUCAAAACAGUGGGAUGCUGCCUGCAAUAAAGAUCUGCUCAGCAAAUUUGCAGAUGAAUUAUACAGAAAAGGAAAAGUGUGUUCUAUACACUUCACUGAAAGUGACUUCCGUACAACCUACAUUCCUGUGCUGUACCAAAGAGGUUGAAUCCAGAGAGAAUGCUUCUCACACCUAGGGCAAACAGAUGAUGAAAGUCAAAAGACCGUGGACGUAGUACAUACUGAAACAAUGUCACUGACUCAAAUAGCAAAAACAGAUGAGACUCAAGAACUGCCAUAUGUAAAUGAGGACCAAGAGAAAGAAGCAAUUAAAACGCCAG